rnacentral:rRNA from 1 species
CGGAUAUCGACGUGUCGGAAGUGGCGGUAAUGCGUAGGGGGCCAGCGUUGUUCGGAUUUAUUUGGCGUAAAGCGCGUGUAGGGUGCCAUGUAGGUCGGUUGUGAAAAUUGGAGGCUCAACCUCCAGACGUCGAUCGAAACCAUCUGGCUAGAGUCCGGAAGAGGAGAAUGGAAUUCCUGGUGUAGCGGUGAAAUGCGCAGAUAUCAGGAAGAACACCGAUGGCGAAGGCAGUUCUCUGGGACGGUACUGACGCUGAGACGCGAAAGCGUGGGGAGCGAACAGGAUUAGAUACCCUGUAGUC